rnacentral:rRNA from 1 species
GACGAACGCUGGCGGCGUGCUUAACACAUGCAAGUCGAACGGUGAAGCGCCUUCCUUUUUGGUGGGUGUGGAUGAGUGGCGAACGGGUGAGUAACACGUGAGUAACCUGCCCCCUUCUUCUGGAUAACCGCAUGAAAGUGUGGCUAAUACGGGAUAUUCUGGGUCUGUCGCAUGAUGGGUCUGGGAAAGAUAUUGUUUCGGUGGGGGAUGGGCUCGCGGCCUAUCAGCUUGUUGGUGGGGUGAUGGCCUACCAAGGCGGUGACGGGUAGCCGGCCUGAGAGGGUGGACGGUCACACUGGGACUGAGGCACGGCCCAGACUCCUACGGGAGGCAGCAGUGGGGAAUAUUGCACAAUGGGCGCAAGCCUGAUGCAGCGACGCCGCGUGAGGGAUGGAGGCCUUCGGGUUGUGAACCUCUUUCGCCAGUGAAGCAGGCCUGCCUCGUUUGUGGGUGGGUUGACGGUAGCUGGAGAAGAAGCGCCGCCUAACUACGUG